AUGAAAAAGCUAUGGUGAUUGAAGUUUUAGAGGAAAUUAGCGAUGGGGAAGAAAGAUGGUCUUAAAUCUAUACUCAGUUCUGCAGGAACAACACAAUUCAUUGGAUUGGAUCUUGUUCUUUGUGGAUCUGGAUUGAAAACGAAGAAAGAAAAAAAAAGGUCAAUGGCACAACAGCAAUGAAGAUUGAAGUGGGUUUAGGAGGAAGUGGGUUAUGGAAUGAAGAUGAAAAAGCUAUGGUGAUUGAAGUUUUAGAGGAAAUUAGCGAUGGGGAAGAAAGAUGGUCUUAAAUCUAUACUCAGUUCUGCAGGAACAACACAAUUCAUUGGAUUGGAUCUUGUUCUUUGUGGAUCUGGAUUGAAAACAAAGAAAAAAAAAAAAGGUCAAUGGCACAACAGCAAUGAAGAUUGAAGUGGGUUUAGGAGGAAGUGGGUUAUGGAAUGAAGAUGAAAAAGCUAUGGUGAUUGAAGUUUUAGAGGAAAUUAGCGAUGGGGAAGAAAGAUGGUCUUAAAUCUAUACUCAGUUCUGCAGGAACAACACAAUUCAUUGGAUUGGAUCUUGUUCUUUGUGGAUCUGGAUUGAAAACGAAAAAAAAAAAAAAAAAAGGUCAAUGGCACAACAACAGUAAGUUGUUGCAUGUUGUUUUCUUUGUAGUAAUAUUUUAGAGAUUUUAAUUCAGACACGCAAAACAAUGCUGGUCAAUGGCGGAAGUGGCAGUUCCGCCAUGCCUUUUUGAUGGCGCAGUUGUGGGUUCCGCCAUUGAUGGGGACCUGCAUGCGUCAGUUUUUGUCCCAAAAUAGGGGUAUUACGGAAUUAUUUUUGAAAAUAGGGGUAUUACGGAA